UACGUAGGUGACAAGCGUUGUCCGGAUUUACUGGGCGUAAAGAGCGCGCAGGCGGUCGACCAAGUCGAGUGUGAAAGCCCCCGGCUCAACUGGGGAGGGUCAUUCGAUACUGAUCGACUCGAAGGCAGGAGAGGGUAGUGGAAUUCCCGGUGUAGUGGUGAAAUGCGUAGAUAUCCGGAGGAACACCGGCGGCGAAGGCGGCUUCCUGGACCGACACUGACGCUGAGGCGCGAAAGCUAGGGGAGCAAACGGG
rnacentral:rRNA from 1 species